GACGAACGCUGGCGGCACGCUUAACACAUGCAAGUCGAACGGAGAAUUUUUGAUUUAUUGAGAAUUCUUAGUGGCGGACGGGUGAGUAACACGUGAGCAACCUGCCUCUGAGAGAGGGAUAGCUUCUGGAAACGGAUGGUAAUACCUCAUAACAUAGCGGAAUCGCAUGGUUUUGUUAUCAAAGAUUUAUCACUCAGAGAUGGGCUCGCGUCUGAUUAGAUAGUUGGUGAGGUAACGGCUCACCAAGUCGACGAUCAGUAGCCGGACUGAGAGGUUGAACGGCCACAUUGGGACUGAGACACGGCCCAG
rnacentral:rRNA from 1 species